AUGUGUUUUUUAUUGAACAAAUUUCUUUGGUGGCGGGAGCAAUCCUACCGCCAGAGGUUAUAACUAAACCAAACUUUUUAUUUACAGUCAAACUUGAUUUAUUAUUACAAUAGUCAAAACUUUCAACAACGGAUCUCUUGGUUCUCGCAUCGAUGAAGAACGCAGCGAAAUGCGAUACGUAAUAUGAAUUGCAGAUAUUCGUGAAUCAUCGAAUCUUUGAACGCACAUUGCGCCCUUUGGUAUUCCAAAGGGCAUGCCUGUUUGAGCGUCAUUUCUCCCUCAAACCCCCGGGUUUGGUGUUGAGCAAUACGCUAGGUUUGUUUGAAAGAAUUUAACGUGGAAACUUAUUUUAAGCGACUUAGGUUUAUCCAAAAACGCUUAUUUUGCUAGUGGCCACCACAAUUUAUUUCAUAACUUUGACCUCAAAUCAGGUAGGACUACCCGCUGAACUUAAGCAUAUCAAUAAGCGGNGGA
rnacentral:rRNA from 1 species